CUCAUUCACCGGCGACGGUGGGUUGUCCUCCAGGAUCUUGAGGUUUCCUCCUAAUUUUGUCCGUCAGCUGAGCAUCAAAGCCCGUAGAAACUGUAGCAACAUCGGUGUUGCGCAGAUCGUGGCGGCUAAGUGGUCCAACAACCCUUCCUCCGGGUUACCUUCGGCGGCGGCGGCGGCUGCUGCCUCGUCUGCAUCUGCGGUUUCUUCCGCCGCAUCUGCAGCCGCAGCCUCGUCCGCCGCCGCCGCCCCCGUGGCCGCCGUUCCUCCCGUCGUGCUUGAAAGCGUCGAUGAGGAGGUUCUGGUGGCCGGGGAGGGGAUCAGGGAGAAGAUAGGUAGUGUACAGC
rnacentral:lncRNA from 1 species